rnacentral:rRNA from 1 species
AUGAACGCUGGCGGUGUGCCUAACACAUGCAAGUCGAGCGAACCCGCAAGGGUUAGCGGCGAACGGGUGAGUAAUGGUACGGAACGUACCCUGAACUCGGGGAUAAGCAACCGAAAGGUCGUCUAAUACCCGAUAGUCCCCUCACGGGGUAAAGAAUUUCGGUUCAGGAGCGGCCGUACUCCCAUCAGCUAGUUGGUAAGGUAAUGGCUUACCAAGGCGACGACGGGUAACUGGCGUGAGAGCGCGACCAGUCACAAUGGGACUGAGACACGGCCCAUACUCCUACGGGAGGCAGCAGUUAGGGAUCUUGCGCAAUGGACGAAAGUCUGACGCAGCGACACCGCGUGGAGGAAUGAAGGCCUUCGGGUCGUAAACUCCUUUUCCCAGGGACGAUGAUGACGGUACCUGGGGAAUAAGCACCGGCUAACUACGU